GACGAACGCUGGCGGCGUGCUUAACACAUGCAAGUCGAACGAAGUGGCGAACGGGUGAGUAAUACGUGAGUAACCUGCCCUCCUUUUUGGGAUAAGCCUUUGAAACGGGGUCUAAUACCGACUAAAGGGGGAUGGGCUCGCGGGCUAUCAGCUUGUUGGUGGGGUGAUGGCCUACCAAGGCGGUGACGGGUAGCCGGGCGGGGAGGGUGACAGGCGACAUUGGGACUGAGAGACGGCCGAGACGCGUACGGGAGGCAGAAGGGGGGGAUAUGGCACAAUGGGCGAAAGCCGGAUGCAGGGGGGACGCGUGGGGGAGGAAGGGUUUGGGGUGGUAAAACUCUGGCGGUAUGGAACGGGUAGGGGGAGAAGAAGCGACGGCUAACUACGUGCCAGCAGCCGCGGUAAGAG
rnacentral:rRNA from 1 species